rnacentral:rRNA from 1 species
GAUGAACGCUAGCUACAGGCUUAACACAUGCAAGUCGAGGGGAAACGACAUCGAAAGCUUGCUUUUGAUGGGCGUCGACAGGCGCACGGGUGAGUAACGCGUAUCCAACCUGUCCAUCACUUGGGAAUAACCUUGCGAAAGUAAGACUAAUACCCAAUGACAUCCUACGAAGACAUCUGAAUGGGAUUAAAGAUUUAUCGGUGACGGAUGGGGAUGCGUCUGAUUAGCUUGUUGGCGGGGUAACGGCCCACCAAGGCAACGAUCAGUAGGGGUUCGGAGAGGAAGGUCCCCGACAUUGGAACUGAGACACGGUCCAAACGCCUACGGGAGGCAGCAGUGAGGAAGAUAGGGCAAUGAGCGAGAGCCUGAACCAGCCAAGUAGCGUGCAGGAUGACGGCCCUAUGGGUGGUAAUCUGCUGUUAAAAGGGAAUAAAGUGGGUCUCGGGAGACUUUUUGCAGGUACCUUAUGAAUAAGGACCGGCUAAUUCCGUG